GCCGGUUCGCCGGCUAUGGAAAUAAAUGGCCGCCGCAAUAAACCAUUCGGACCCGGGGGCAGUACCCGGCGCCUCCACCA
rnacentral:tmRNA from 1 species